rnacentral:rRNA from 1 species
GCCGGAACUGCACUGCCAGUAGUUAUAGUUUGUUUGAUGGUAUGUGCUACUCGGAUAACUGUAGUAAUUCUAUAUUUAAUACGUGCACCAAAUAUCGACUUCUGAAAGGGAUGCAUUCAUUAGGUAAAAGGUCGAUGCUGGCUCAUGCCAGCUGCCCUGAUGACUCAUGAUAACUUGUCAAAUCGCACUACCCUUGUGCCGGUGACGCAUCAUUCGAACAUCUGCCAUAUCAACUUUCGAUGGUAGGAUAGGGGCCUACCAUGGUGGUGACGGGUGACGGAGAAUUAGGGUUCGAUUCCGGAGAGGGAGCCUGAGAGACGGCUACCAUAUUCAAGGAAGGCAGCAGGCGCGCAAAUUACCCAAUCCUGACACGGGGAGGUAGUGACAAUAAAUAACAAUACCGGGCUCUUCGAGUCUGGUAAUUGGAAUGAGUACAAUCUAAACCCCUUAACGAGGAUCCAUUGGAGGGCAAGUCUGGUGCCAGUAGCCUCGAUAAUUCUAACUCCAAUAGUGUAUAUUUAAGUUGUUGUAGUUAAAAAGCUCGUAGUUGGACCUUGGGAUGGGACGGUCGGUCUGCCUCGCGGUGUGAACCGCCCGCCUCAUCCCUUAUGUCGGCGAUGCGUUCUUGGACUUAAUUGACCGGGUCGUGCCUUCGGCGCUGUUACUUUGAACAAAUUAGAGUGCUCAAAGCAAGCCCACGCUCUGGAUACAUUAGCAUGGGAUAACACCAAAGGAUUUCGGUCCUAUUGUGUUGGCCUUCGGGAUCGGAGUAAUGAUUAAGAGGGACGGUCGGGGGCAUUCGUAUUUCAUAGUCAGAGGUGAAAUUCUUGGAUUUAUGAAAGACGAACCACUGCGAAAGCAUUUGCCAAGGAUGUUUUUAUGAAUCAAGAACGAAAGUUAGGGGCUCGAAGACGAUCAGAUACUGUCCUAAUCUCAACCAUAAAUGAUGCCGACCAGAGAUCGGCAGAUGUUUCUUUUAGGACUCCGUCGGCACCUUUUGAGAAAUUAAAGUCUUUGGGUUCUAUGAAAGUCGGCCGUAGCCCAUGCAUAUAUAUAUAUAUANUGAUCGUUUUAUAAUUUUUUAUGUUUAUUUUGGAGUGUACUGAAUUCUUAAAAUAUCUUAUUGAAGUUUUCCAUGAAAGUCGGCCGUAGCCCAUGUAUAUAUAUAUAACUAUAAUCAAUCAAAGUACAGCAGCUCAACCGGGAUCAAACUCCAAUGUAUCCUCUGCUAGGAGGUCUAAAAGCCUCCUGGGGAGCACAACGCCCCUAUCAAAAGAAAAAACACCCUGACGGGCCAAAAAAUCACAAGAAUCUGUUGAACGAUUUGCACCACGUGAUCGGUGAAUCCGUCAUCUUGUGAUUUUUUGGCCCGUCAGGGUGUUUUUUCUUUUGAUAGGGGCGUUGUGAACGAUUUGCACCACGCGAUCUGCUUGUCUGCAGUGCCCCGUGACCGAAGGGUCCUCUCCCAAAGAUGACGGAGUCUCCGAACUGCUCAUAAGCAAUCUCCCUCAAUAAUGAGUCCCUCGAAAUCAGUCUCCGUAGCUGAAAGUGCCUACCUCAGAGUAGUCACCGCUAGAAUCUCUACCUGAAGUGGGGAUCUUAC